AUACGGAGGGUCCGAGCGUUAUCCGGAAUCAUUGGGUUUAAAGGGUCCGUAGGCGGGAAUCUAAGUCAGUGGUGAAAUCUUGCAGCGCAACUGUAAAAUUGCCAUUGAUACUGGAUUUCUCGAAUUAGUGUGAAGUGGUUAGAAUGUGUAGUGUAGCGGUGAAAUGCAUAGAUAUUACACAGAAUACCAAUUGCGAAGGCAGAUCACUAACACUAUAUUGACGCUAAGGGACGAAAGCGUGGGGAGCGAACAGGAUUAGAAACCCUAGUAGUCC
rnacentral:rRNA from 1 species